rnacentral:rRNA from 1 species
UACGUAGGAUGCAAGCGUUGUCCGGAAUUAUUGGGCGUAAAGAGCGCGCAGGCGGUUUUACAAGUCAGAUGUGAAAUAUCCGGGUUUAACCCGGAGGGGUCAUUUGAAACUGUGAGACUAGAGUACAGCAGAGGAUAGCGGAAUUCCCGGUGUAGUGGUGAAAUGCGUAGAUAUCGGGAGGAACACCAGUGGCGAAGGCGGCUAUCUGGGCUGAAACUGACGCUGAGGCGCGAAGGCUAGGGGAGCAAACAGG